rnacentral:rRNA from 1 species
UAGGGGAUCUUCCACAAUGGACGAAAGUCUGAUGGAGCAACGCCGCGUGAGUGAAGAAGGUUUUCGGAUCGUAAAGCUCUGUUGUUGGUGAAGAAGGAUAGAGGCAGUAACUGGUCUUUAUUUGACGGUAAUCAACCAGAAAGUCACGGCUAACUACGUGCCAG